rnacentral:rRNA from 1 species
GACGAACGCUGGCGGCGUGCUUAACACAUGCAAGUCGAACGGCAAGGCACUGAUUUUGUGGGGUGCUCGAGUGGCGAACGGGUGAGUAACACGUGAGUAACCUGAUCUUGACUUUGGGAUAACUUCAGGAAACUGGGGCUACUCCAGGAUAGCAGCUCCUGCUGCAUGGAGGGGGUUGGAACGUUUCGGCGGUAGGGGAUGGACGAGCGGCUUAUCAGCUUGUUGGUUGGGUAGUGGAUUACCAAGGCAUUGACGGGUAGCCGGCUUGUGAGGGGGACCGGCCACAUUGGGACUGAGAGACGGAGCAGUCGCGUACGGGAGGCAGCAGUGGGGAAUAUUGUACAAUGGGCGGAAGUCUGAUGCAGCGACGCCGCGUGCGGGAUGACGGCCUGCGGGUUGUAAAACGCUGUCGCCUGUGACGAAGCUUGAGUGACGGUAAUGAAUAAAGAAGCACCGGCUAACUACGUG